GAGUUUGAUCAUGGCUCAGAUUGAACGCUGGCGGCAAGCUUAACACAUGCAAGUCGAACGGCAAGUAGCUUGCUACUUACGAGUGGCGUACGGGUGAGUAACGUAUGGGAAUUUACCGAAUGGACGGGGACAACAGUUGGAAACGGCUGCUAAUACCGCAUAACGUCGAAAGACCAAAGGGUUUUGACUUGCCAUUUGAUGAGCCCAUAUGAGAUUAGCUAGUUGGUGUGGUAAUGGUUCACCAAGGCCACGAUCUCUAGCUGGUUAGAGAGGAUGACCAGCCACACUGGGACUGAG
rnacentral:rRNA from 1 species